rnacentral:lncRNA from 1 species
UACCUCUCUCAAAAAUAAUUUGAUGAAAGAAUAAAUUCAAAGUCAUCUAGAAUGGCAGAAUAAGAUAAUGAAAAUGUAUGCAUACUAUAAUCUAUGGAAUAGUGCUGAAUCUGCACUCAGAGUAAAAAUAAUGUUAAAUACUAAUAUAAAAUGUCUAGAAAUACAGUUUACAUAAUUGAUUAGGUAUCCAGAUCUGUAAGUUUUAAGGAAACUACAACAUUCAGAUGCACACACACACACUGGUAAGCAGAAGGAAUUAAGAAUGAUUAAAGCAAAAAAAUAAAAUGCAAAUAUAUAAGCUGGUUUUUUUUUUAUUUAAGAAAA